UCCCCCCUUCUACCCCUUCACCAAGUCCUCCUCCCCCUUUUCCACAAUAAGCAAUAAACUUCCCUUAUAUCAUGUCUGUCACAUGGUGUGAUUUCUCAGGGGGACAGCUUGGCAAGGGCUUGCCAGGUAUCCCCUUACCCUGCCAGCACCACACUAUAUUUCAUAACAUGGGUGCCAAAAGACUCGGGAGGUUCUUCUGGUGUUGGUGCUUCUCGUGGGUCUAAGCCACACAACAGGACCCUACAGUCAACCUACAACAACUAUACUUUCUGGCUCACCUACUGCUCUUCAACCCAUCUGCUAAUGACACUUAGGAAAAAACCCCCUCAUCGGCUGAGCCUCAUGGCCAGACUGCCUCUGCCCGCAGUGCCAUAGAGACCACAGGAACCUGGGAGCACUGUCUGGGCAGCGGACCAUGGACGAAUCUCUGUUGUUUUAAUUGAUCUAUGACAUCGGGAUUAAAACGUAUCCUUUCAGAUCUCGGACCACAUUGCUGACUGUAGCUUGACAGCUCGGGAACAGGCAAGGAGCUUCUUAGCCCCAGCUCUGUCCCACAGAGAACUCCAGCGAGGGACCACAGCGGGGAACUGGCUGGAAUGCUGGGCAUACCAGGAAGAUUGGCCCCUCAGGCUUGGAAGAUGCUUGCUCAGACUGUGAGAUGCAUGCCUUGCAAACACAAGGACCUGACCUGAACGCCCAGGACCCACAUUAAAACAAAACAGACAAACAAACAACACAAAAGACUGAAAUUGUAAUGGAGAAAGGAAGGUUGGUCCUUCGGGCUCACUGGCUGGCCAGCCUACCCUGCUAGAUAAGUUUCAGGCCAGGGUGGGAUCUGAUGUCCUGUUCAGAAAGGUGGAUGGCUGUUGAGAAACAACACUCAGACUCAGAUACCACACACCCACACCCACCCACACACACACACACAGAGCACUCACCACACACAUGUAUACCCAUCACCCACACAC